AAUACGAAGGGGGCUAGCGUUGUUCGGAAUUACUGGGCGUAAAGCGCACGUAGGCGGAUAUUUAAGUCAGGGGUGAAAUCCCGGGGCUCAACCCCGGAACUGCCUUUGAUACUGGGUAUCUCGAGUCCGAGAGAGGUGAGUGGAAUUCCGAGUGUAGAGGUGAAAUUCGUAGAUAUUCGGAGGAACACCAGUGGCGAAGGCGGCUCACUGGCUCGGUACUGACGCUGAGGUGCGAAAGCGUGGGGAGCAAACAGGA
rnacentral:rRNA from 1 species